UCAACGGAUAAAAGCUACCCUGGGAUAACAGGCUUAUCUCCCCCAAGAGUCCACAUCGACGGGGAGGUUUGGCACCUCGAUGUCGGCUCAUCGCAUCCUGGGGCUGGAAGUAGGUCCCAAGGUUGGGCUGUUCGCCCAUUAAAGCGGUACGCGAGCUGGGUUCAGAACGUCGUGAGACAGUUCGGUCCCUAUCUGUCGUGGGCGUAGGAAAUUUGAGAGGAGCUGUCCUUAGUACGAGAGGACCGGGAUGGACGUACCGCUGGUGUACCAGUUGUUCCGCCAGGAGCACCGCUGGGUAGCUAUGUACGGAAGGGAUAAGCGCUGAAAGCAUCUAAGCGUGAAGCCCCCCUCAAGAUGAGAUUUCCCAGUAUGUAAGACCCCUUGAAGACGACGAGGUAGAUAGGUUGGAGGUGGAAGUGCAGUAAUGCAUGGAGCUGACCAAUACUAAUCGGUCGAGGGCUUAUCCUAAA
rnacentral:rRNA from 1 species